GGGUUGUGAGGUUAAGCGACUAAGCGUACACGGUGGAUGCCCUGGCAGUCAGAGGCGAUGAAGGGCGUGCUAAUCUGCGAUAAGCGCCGGUAAGGUGAUAUGAACCGUUAUAACCGGCGAUACCCGAAUGGGAAAACCCAGUGUGACUCGUCACACUAUCAUUAACUGAAUCCAUAGGUUAAUGAGGCGAACCGGGGGAACUGAAACAUCUAAGUACCCCGAGGAAAAGAAAUCAACCGAGAUUCCCCCAGUAGCGGCGAGCGAACGGGGAGGAGCCCAGAGCCUGAAUCAGCAUGUGUGUUAGUGGAAGCGUCUGGAAAGGCGCGCGAUACAGGGUGACAGCCCCGUACACAAAAGCGCAUGUGCUGUGAGCUCGAUGAGUAGGGCGGGACACGUGGUAUCCUGUCUGAAUAUGGGGGGACCAUCCUCCAAGGCUAAAUACUCCUGACUGACCGAUAGUGAACCAGUACCGUGAGGGAAAGGCGAAAAGAACCCCGGCGAGGGGAGUGAAAAAGAACCUGAAACCGUGUACGUACAAGCAGUGGGAGCCCCACCACCAAAGCAUUUGCUGUACCGCGUUGACGGAGCGAAGCGACGUCAAACCGAUAAAACAGCAGUGUAAAGUGAGCCGCAGGGCGCUUUGCGCGACAGCGCAAAGGCAGGCGGUUUCGCGUAGCGAAAGCGAAUGCUUUGGGGUGGGGUGACUGCGUACCUUUUGUAUAAUGGGUCAGCGACUUAUAUUCUGUAGCAAGGUUAACCGAAUAGGGGAGCCGGAGGGAAACCGAGUCUUAAU
rnacentral:rRNA from 1 species